GCUCGGUUAGCUCAAUCGGUAGAGCGUGAGACUCUUAAUCUCAAGGUUGCGGGUUCGACCCCCGCAUCGGGCU
rnacentral:tRNA from 1 species